rnacentral:rRNA from 1 species
UUGGAGGGCAAGUCUGGUGCCAGCAGCCGCGGUAAUUCCAGCUCCAAUAGCGUAUAUUAAAGUUGUUGCAGUUAAAAAGCUCGUAGUUGAAUUUCGGGGUUAGUAGGUUGGUCAUGCCUCUGGUAUGUACUGGUCUCACUGAUUCCUCCUUCCUGAUGAACCGUAAUGCCAUUAAUUUGGUGUUGCGGGGAAUUUGGACUGUUACCUUGAAAAAAUUAGAGUGUUUAAAGCAAGCUAACGCUUGAAUACAUUAGCAUGGAAUAAUGAAAUAGGACGUUCGAUCCUAUUUUGUUGGUUUCUAGGAUUGGCGUAAUGAUUAAUAGGGAUAGUUGGGGGCAUUAGUAUUCAAUUGUCAGAGGUGAAAUUCUUGGAUUUAUUGAAGACUAACUACUGCGAAAGCAUUUGCCAAGGAUGUUUUCAUUAAUCAAGAACGAAAGUUAGGGGAUCGAAGACGAUCAGAUACCGUCGUAGUCUUAGCCAUAAACUAUGCCGACUAGGGAUCGGAUGAUGUUAAUUUUUUAAUGACUCAUUCGGCGCCUUACGGGAAAC